rnacentral:rRNA from 1 species
GUGGGGAAUCUUCCGCAAUGGACGAAAGUCUGACGGAGCAACGCCGCGUGAACGAUGACGGCCUUCGGGUUGUAAAGUUCUGUUAUACGGGACGAAUGGUACGACGGCCAAUACCCGUCGUAAGUGACGGUACCGUAAGAGAAAGCCACGGCUAACUACGUGCCAGCAGCCGCGGUAAUACGUAGGUGGCAAGCGUUGUCCGGAAUUAUUGGGCGUAAAGGGCGCGCAGGCGGCGUCGUAAGUCGGUCUUAAAAGUGCGGGGCUUAACCCCGUGAGGGGACCGAAACUGCGAUGCUAGAGUAUCGGAGAGGAAAGCGGAAGUCCUAGUGUAGCGGUGAAAUGCGUAGAUAUUAGGAGGAACACCAGUGGCGAAAGCGGCUUUCUGGACGACAACUGACGCUGAGGCGCGAAAGCCAGGGGAGCAAACGGGAUUAGAAACCCGUGUAGUCC